GACGAACGCUGGCGGCGCGCUUCACACAUGCAAGUCGAACGAGAAGCCCGGGCUUGCCCGGGUGGACAGUGGCGAACGGGUGAGUAACACGUGAGCAACCUGCCCCGAAGACCGGGAUAACACCGGGAAACCGGUGCUAAUACCGGAUGUCUUCGCCGGACCGCAUGAUCCGGCGAGGAAAUGGUCUGCCGCUUCGGGAUGGGCUCGCGGCCUAUCAGCUUGUUGGUGGGGGAACGGCCCACCAAGGCGACGACGGGUAGCUGGUCUGAGAGGAUGUCCAGCCAAGCUGGGACUGAGACACGGCCCAGACUCCUACGGGAGGCAGCAGUGGGGAAUCUUGCGCAAUGGGCGAAAGCCUGACGCAGCGACGCCGCGUGCGGGAUGAAGGCCUUCGGGUUGUAAACCGCUCUCAGCAGGGACGAAAUUGACGGUACCUGUAGAAGAAGCCCCGGCCAACUACGUGCCAGCAGCCGCCGUAAGAC
rnacentral:rRNA from 1 species